rnacentral:misc_RNA from 1 species
CAGCGAUCGGCAGGAGCGGGCGAGGUGGCGAGGUAUUCAACGGUUGCGGCAGUUCUGGCUUGUUUUAGUUGUGUGGUUGUGUGCCAUUCGCGUAGAAGCGGAGUGCAUAGCUUCUGUGCUCGAUGUGAGUGGCUUGUGUACCUGCUACGCUGCCUACGUGCAGUUCGGGCCGGUUCGGGCUAGCACGUACUUACAAUGCAGUCGUGCUUGCAGUUUAGGCAAAAUGAUGUGCUGAAAGGCGAUGGAACUACCUCUGACAACGCAAUCAAGCUACCAGUCAGCCUUCUUCUUUCCUUUGUGUUAUGCGACGCCAGAGGCGAAGUCUGAUAGCGAGACAUCAGCAUUCUGCGAAAACCAUUCUGCAACAUUACGAACGAGCUUGAGUACAUUGGACUGCAGCGAUACCGGCGUUUGUGGGCGAAGUUUGUGCUCGGAUACAGCAUUAUCGUCGCGAUCAACACCAUCUAUAAAUACCACGCACGAACAUAAACUGGGAAAUGAACAUACAAACCUAGUGUUGAGAAAGUUUCUACAGACGUUGCAACAGGAUUCAAUGGAACCGACUGAGGGCUUCUCGCAAAGCACAUCGUACUCGGCACCGCCAGCUUUGAUGUCAGCAUCACGCGGGACGUCGAUUGCAAGUUCGUUUAGCAGCGAGAGCAUACCAGUUGUGACUACUUCGCAAGGAAGUACUGAACAUGGAAGUAGCAGCUGCACAAUGUCUGGAACAGUUGAUGGAGAAGUACAGUCAUGUACAGAAAAAGUGCUGGAGCAGGAGCGUGCAGCUUCUUCCAGUGUUUUUUUUCCUGGUACAUGCUUGUCAGCCUCAGAUGCAGUAGUUGCUUCAAACUAUGAUACUGGAAAAGGCAACUUAAUGAAUAAUCAAGAAUUGGCCCUCUCUCUUGAGUCAGUGCUGACAGUGGUACCACAGUCACUUCGGGUGCGUUCUACAACCGCAAAUGCUAAAAGCUUGGAGCGGAAACAAGUGAUCAAAGAACCAUGUGUUAAGACUUGUAGACCAAGGUACUCUACUUCUUCAUGUGGAGGUGCUAGCUUACAGUCAUGGGACUCUCAUCUGGAAAUAGAUGCAUCUAUUGAAGACAUUGUGGAAAGUGUGAUUCACGAACUGUCCAUCUGUGAAACAGAGUUGCAAAGCUGUUCGGGCAUGUUUUCCCAGGAGCACUCUACAAUCAGUGAUGCGCCACGAAGAGCAUCCCCAGCCUCUCUUUCAAGUUACACAUCAAGCAAGCGUUUAGAGUGGGACAAUGGGGCAGACAUUGGAUAUUCAGGCACUAGUGGUAGAACACACGAGCAAGGAGGGUCAAGGUAUCGCGACAUAGUGAGGCACAUUUCUGAGCCAAGCGAAAGUGAUGUCAUCAAUCAAGUGAGUGUUUCCCCCGAUGAAAAGGCACAUGAAUUUGCUGUGCCACAUUUUUGUGAUGUUAUUGUACAGACUGAAGCUUGUUCAAUCAAAGAUGCUGGAGUCCAAGCUAAUGCUUCUGUGACAGAUCUUUCGUCUACUCAGACUCAUAUGAAAGCAUCAACAAAGCAGUCUGAUUUAUUAGUAUCAGGCAGUGCUGCGACAGAUUUGAGUAGUAUUGCAUCUACCAAGCAAGGAUCUUCCAUAACUUCACUUGCUAACAGCGUACACCAACAAACUGGCAUGGAGAAAAGAGGAUUUUAUGUGACCGAUCGAACACCAAACUAUGUUUGUGCCAAUUUGAAGCCUGCUGUUCAGCAACCUCCAGGCAGAAAGAGCCUUGAAAUGCCAAAACGUGAUCGGGCAAAUAGCGUUUCGCUCUGCUAUAGCCACAAGACCUUCAAAGAGCAUAGGAACCUUAGAAAGAAGCAUGCAGGUUCAACACGAAAACGUGCGUCGGAUUUUAGCCAUGUUCAGAGAAGACAUUGCAGCAAUAACUUUGUUUCUGCCUCUGAUACUUCUCAUGUAGAAUCUGAACCUUUGGAUGUCACUGGCUUUGCAGUUAUAAACAACAACCGAAUGAAAAUGAAAUUGCCUACGACUGUGCCUGGACUGGCUUCUCGAAGUGCAACACCUGCUGAGCUUCCUCGUGCUUGCUGUGAACUUAACAAGCGGCGGCUUGAUUAUUGGCUUAGCUCUGGUUUUCCUUAUGUGCCUGCAGUGGUGCCCCUUGAAGUAGACAUCCUACCUCGUAUUCACAGUGCUGAACCAGCCACAGAAAAGCAAGAAAAUUGUGAUCCAAGGCUUGUAGUAUCAGGGUCAUGCCUCCCAUCUAUAACUCAAAGGCAAGAAGCCAUUGAUAUGGCAAAUGCUCGGACUAUUGUAACAGCACAAGGUGCCAGUGGGAUGACACGAAAGCGUUACAUUGUCCGUCCAGCAUCACAUUCAGCACUGAAAACAUCCGAAGCCAGCACGGUGUUUUCAAAGCAGACAGCAGCACUGUGCCAAAAACUCAUUACAAAAGACAAACUUGGGAUAGGAUUGUCAACCAUGUCCUCUUUUACUAAGAUGGACGGCAUACCUCCCAUUAAUGGGGCAGCCAAGUCAACACUGCUGUUGCAGAGCAACACUGAAGACACUUUGCUUUCAAGAUCAAAUGAAAGCGAAGCAUGUUCUUCAGCAGAGAUGUUGGCAUCUUGCAAAAAUCAAGAGGAGCAUUGUCAGCACAACUCUUCUGCUUCGUGCAACAGUUUAUCCGAAGGAACUUCAUCACAGCUGCUGACGGUGAAUGGUAGGAGUUGCAAGCUGAAACGGAUGGCUCACAGAGAGCUGGAAAAGCUAAGGUUCCUUGUUAAUCGACAAAGACAUGGCUACUUGAAGCAGUUGCAACGAGAAGUAGAACGGCUGCAUAAACUUGAGCAGCUGUUCCUCUUAGCAGACGUCAGUCGCACAGCAUCUUCAGCAGAAACAGAGACCACUUCACCAGAAAAGGACGUUGGAAUGGUGUGCAGAAACGGAGACAGCAACAGCGUUGCAGUGCAGACUUCUCAGUCACUUUUUACCAGCUGUGAUGAUGAGGACACUGUGGUCAAGGAAAGGUGCUUUGUGUCAGUGGUUGGCCAGUCGGUGAAGAAGCAGAGAGACCACCCUUCACAGCAGAGGAGGAAAGCUGUCUCCAAGCGUCCUGUAGCAUGGGUAGUACCUGUGGGGUUAAACACCCCAUACAGUGGCAAUAAACAAGACGGAGCAUCCCCAAAAGAGAGAAACCACCAGGACACCAAGCAAGAAGAGAGUCUGCAGGCAGCAUUUGCAGCCCAUUGUAGCCGCUUAAUCAAGCGUUCAGAGGCAAGGCAAACUCAGCUUGCUAUCCUGUCUGAACGACGACAAAAGCAGCGCUUGGCACCACUGCAGGUGCAGCUGCAAGGGCGAAAUCAGCUGCACCCUCGUCCACCAGGAAAUUUAGGGUGCCCCAGGUAACUCCAGCCAGAGAUUAAAAAUAUGGUGACACACUUUAUGACGAUGCAACCAAAUGCAUGUUGCUGACUAUUGCAUGGAGAAGAGCCUCAACAAAGAAGACAUUUACACACAAGGAAAUGAGGGAACAGACUGAGAGG